UGGCUUUUGGAUGCUUAUAUUUGUACCUGUUCUUUUUUUUUUUUUUCCUAUAAGGCAGGUGUUAGAAAAGAGGAUGUGGUUGUGGUCGUAUUGCAUAAUAAUUAGGAUAUGAUGUAUGACUGAUUAGCUUACUGCUGAUUUUACAUAAUGAUUUCAUGUUUGAAGGAACUUCAGACAAAGAUUUGGUGGAAAAGUUUUGCAAGUGUAUGUUGCAUACUAGUCUGCUACUCUGUCUUUUCUCCUCCUUGUGGCACUUACCAGAAAUUUACAGAACGUGUUUGGUCUUUCAUAGCAUGUAGACGUGCAUGAAAUAAAUCUAAACAUCACAGGUUGAUAAAAACAAAGCAAAGUGUGUGUUUGAAGCUGAAUGUGAUGGCGAAAUAAAGUUACUAGACAUUU